rnacentral:sRNA from 1 species
UUUGUAUACUAGAAAUGUCUAUGAAGACCAAGUGUCGUUAGCUAAAUUGGUAAAAACCCUGGGCGAAACUUAGAGGUCGCUGGUUCGAGUGACGCUUGGGACAAAAUUAAUAUUACAUGUCGUGGUUUCGGGCCUAGGAGGAUUACGGGUUUCGGCCCAAAACCUCUUAGUAUUCGAAAAAGAA